rnacentral:tRNA from 1 species
UCCCUGAUAGCUCAGUUGGUAAAGAGUCUGCCUGUAAUGCAGGAGACCCCAGUUCAAUUCCUGGGCAGGGAA